GGAACUGCGGAUAUAGCUUGCCACAGUAUCUUAUCAGUUAAUUGCAUUCUUGGAUGUGCUGGGAGUCAGCUCGCACAAAUUAAGUCCUAGAGGAAGAAGGGUGGGCAAGGGGCUGCGAGUGAAGGAACCAAGAUGCAGUCUGUCUGGCUCUCUUAGUUAAGGGAGAGUCAAUUCAGGUCAAAACAAGGUAGGGUAUCACAAAACAUGUAAAAGAAAAGGAUCAGAAAAAGAAGGAAGCAAAAGAGAAAAGUACCUGAAGUGCCAGCCUUCUCCACUUUGUGAAGCUCACUUUGUGAGAACCAAUGGAAAGAAGCCUAAGUUGCUGGGACCUGUUCCCUGCGAAUUCAUAGCAUAAUAGCUGUAAAAACAAAAAAACAAAAAAACAACUAAAGAAAAGAGCCCCCUAAAUCGGAUAGACUUCAGGCCCUACAAUAUCCAGAUCUACUUCUGAUGAUGUUUUAUUUCAUAAGCUGGGCAGUAAGUCAUGGUGAGUAUUCUUUAAAUGAUUCUCUAUAUUAUUUGGUUUACUCCAAACACAAACUAGUAAAACAUUUUGUCUAAGAGGCUUUGUUUUCUUUAUCUGUCCUGGUCCUGAUGUUGGAUGCCUAUGACUUCACUGAUUGCUGUAAGCCCUUGAGUUGGCAGAAGCUUUGCACAGCUUUGCUUCUGCCAUCCUGAGCACCUCACCACAGUGCAGGUGUAAGGCCUGGGCUUAUCGGCCCUCUUUUAUUUAAAAAAAUUUCCCAACGUUUAAUUGCAAAAGUCCCUUAGCUUCAUUUCUACUUUAUUUCAGUUCCCAAUGCCAGUUUGUUUUUUUUCUAAGUAUCUUCUGAAGGAGUGACUCACCAUUCACUUCUAUUGGAAUCCAAAUUUUGCAAUAUUCACAAAGUUGCAAAUAAUUAAAUUAGGAUAUCUUAGAAUCUCAUAACCAGGGAGAGAUUACUGUAAACUCAACCAUAUUCACCACUAUUUAUCGCAUAUCUGCUUUGUGCAAACCUUGGUUCCAUGUGCUGGGGGAACACAAAUGUAGAUCUUAUUUCUGUCCCUGAGCUGGUGAGAUAAGAAGUUGCCUAGAGGCCAGGCGCAAUGGCUUACGCCUGUAAUCCCAGCACUUAGGGAGGCCAGGCAGGCAGAUCACGAGGUCAGGAGAUCGAGACCAUCCUGGCUAACACAGUGAAACCUCGUCUCUACUAAAAAUAUAAAAAAAAUUAGCCAGGUGUGGUGGUGGGUGCCUGUAGUCCCAGCUGCUCUGGAGACUGAGGCAGGAGAAUGGCGUGAACCCGGGAGGCAGAGCUUGCAGUGAGCCGAGAUCACGCCACAGCACUCUAGCCUGGGCGACAGAGCGAGACUCCGUCUCAAAAAAAAAAAAAAAAAAA
rnacentral:lncRNA from 1 species